rnacentral:rRNA from 1 species
GAUGAACGCUGGCGGCGUGCCUAAUACAUGCAAGUCGAGCGAACGGACGAGAAGCUUGCUUCUCUGAUGUUAGCGGCGGACGGGUGAGUAACACGUGGAUAACCUACCUAUAAGACUGGGAUAACUUCGGGAAACCGGAGCUAAUACCGGAUAAUAUUUUGAACCGCAUGGUUCAAAAGUGAAAGACGGUCUUGCUGUCACUUAUAGAUGGAUCCGCGCUGCAUUAGCUAGUUGGUAAGGUAACGGCUUACCAAGGCAACGAUGCAUAGCCGACCUGAGAGGGUGAUCGGCCACACUGGAACUGAGACACGGUCCAGACUCCUACGGGAGGCAGCAGUAGGGAAUCUUGCGCAGUGGGCGAAAGCCUGACGGAGCAACGCCGCGUGAGUGAUGAAGGUCUUCGGAUCGUAAAACUCUGUUAUUAGGGAAGAACAUAUGUGUAAGUAACUGUGCACAUCUUGACGGUACCUAAUCAGAAAGCCACGGCUAACUACGUG